rnacentral:lncRNA from 1 species
UUUUUUUUAAUUUUUAUCUUUUGAUAGUUUUUGAAGGCUUAGUCUGGGUUGAUUUGCUUUCUACUAAAACUAAAUAAAGAUUUAACAAAGCUGCCUAACUUAACGUACGCAUAAACAACAACUGUUCUUUCAAAGAUAUUUUUUUAUACGUCUCUCUAUACACAAACCGCACAAGUUUAGGUUAACAAACAGACAGAUGAAAAGCAGACUAUUGUGUGUUGUCCGUCCCUCUCCCUCGAAAUGCAGAAUCAAUGGAAGGACCAGUUAAAAACUGGCUCCUGGACAAGAAAGACCCGGUCCAGCCCUUUGAAUGCUGCACCGACGCUUUCUAAAAGAAAAGCUAAGAGGAAAGAGGGCGGCGUUGGAGCCCUGUGUCGAGGGAUGUUAUUGAACACACGCUUCAGAGGUAGUUGAACGAUGGAUAUUCCCAGUUGGAUCGGAGUAUGAGGUGAGUACCUGGGAGAAAAGAGUUAACGUUCGCCCGCUCGAAUCUCUAGUGACGAAAUCCUAUGCGUGUCUUUGAACUCUCUGUAGUUAUUUUUUUUACUUUUUAUUUUUUCAUUCUUCGGAUUGCGGUUAGUAUUGAUUCUUCUUGGCAUGCAAAUUCUCAAUUCUUCUCGCUAUUUCGAUGUCGUUCCACUGGAAUUCUUCCUUUUUACUUUCGUCUCUUCUUUCGUUAUGGAUUCAGGUAUAUCGCACUUACAGUUUCAUCAUGUAUACUUG